rnacentral:snRNA from 2 species
AGCUGCGCAGUGGACACAGAGCGAACUAAUCUUUCGCCUUUUACUAAAGAUUACCGUGUGUCCGCUGCAAUAAGCAGCAUACGCCAAUUUUUUGAGGGUUCCUUCUCCUUGGGAAGGGU